UGGGUGGUCCGCCGUCGGCGACGCCGCGAGAAGUCCACUGAACCUUAUCAUUUAGAGGAAGGAGAAGUCGUAACAAGGUUUCCGUAGGUGAACCUGCGGAAGGAUCAUUG
rnacentral:rRNA from 1 species